rnacentral:rRNA from 1 species
CCUACGGGAGGCUGCAGUGGGGAAUAUUGCACAAUGGGGGAAACCCUGAUGCAGCGACGCCGCGUGAGCGAAGAAGUAUUUCGUUAUGUAAAGCUCUAUCAGCAGGGAAGAUAGUGACGGUACCUGACUAAGAAGCUCCGGCUAAAUACGUGCCAGCAGCCGCGGUAAUACGUAUGGAGCAAGCGUUAUCCGGAUUUACUGGGUGUAAAGGGAGUGUAGGUGGCAUCACAAGUCAGAAGUGAAAGCCCGGGGCUCAACCCCGGGACUGCUUUUGAAACUGUGGAGCUGGAGUGCAGGAGAGGCAAGUGGAAUUCCUAGUGUAGCGGUGAAAUGCGUAGAUAUUAGGAGGAACACCAGUGGCGAAGGCGGCUUGCUGGACUGUAACUGACACUGAGGCUCGAAAGCGUGGGGAGCAAACAGGAUUAGAUACCCCUGUAGUC